GGUUGUAAAAUCCCAGUAACUUUCCUCAAAUUCCCAGAAAUAAACAAGAAAUCUGGAAUCGUCCAAUCAGGAUUUCUGGAGGAAAUAUGGGACAUUUAAGUAAAGUUACCAAAAAAUUACAACCCUGUGAACAACAAAUGACAGUGUUUCUGUAUUUUCCUCCCCUUCAUGUGUAAACAAAGUUAGCAGGGGAACCCUCGUCAUCAAAGUUAGCAGGGGAACCCUCGUCAUCAAAGUUAGCAGGGGAACCCUCGUAAUCAAAGUUAGCAGGGGAACCCUCGUAAUCAAAGUUAGCAGGGGAACCCUCGUAAUCAAAGUUAGCAGGGGAACCCUCGUAAUCAAAGUUAGCAGGGGGAACCCUCGUAAUCAAAGUUAGCAGGGGAACCCUCGUCAGGACAGACAAUGGUGUACAACUGUACAAACCCCAACAGAGUCACUGGAAGGUGUUUCUGGUCUUUAGUCGUGUUAAGAACCACGUGUUAAACCCCAACAGUCACUGGAAGGUGUUUCUGGUCUUUAGUCGUGUUAAGAACCACGUGUUAAACCCCAACAGUCACUGGAAGGUGUUUCUGGUCUUUAGUCGUGUUAAGAUCCACGUGUUAAACCCCAACAGUCACUGGAAGGUGUUUCUGGUCUUUAGUCGUGUUAAGAACCACGUGUUAAACCCCAACAGUCACUGGAAGGUGUUUCUGGUCUUUAGUCGUGUUAAGAACCACGUGUUAAACCCCAACAGUCACUGGA
ensembl:lncRNA